UACGUAGGGGGCAAGCGUUGUCCGGAAUCAUUGGGCGUAAAGCGCGUGUAGGCGGUCCGGUAAGUCCGCUGUGAAAGUCGGGGGCUCAACCCUCGGAUGCCGGUGAAUACUGUCGGGCUUAAGUACGGAAGAGGCGAGUGGAAUUCCUGGUGUAGCGGUGAAAUGCGCAGAUAUCAGGAGGAACACCAAUUGCGAAGGCAGCUCGCUGGGACGUUACUGACGCUGAGACGCGAAAGCGUGGGGAGCAAACAGG
rnacentral:rRNA from 1 species